rnacentral:rRNA from 1 species
UACAGAGGUGGCAAGCGUUGUUCGGAAUUACUGGGCGUAAAGGCGCGUAGGCGGCCAUCUAAGUCAGACGUGAAAUCCCCCGGCUUAACCUGGGAACUGCGUCUGAUACUGGACGGCUCGAGUUUGGGAGAGGGAUGCAGAAUUCCAGGUGUAGCGGUGAAAUGCGUAGAUAUCUGGAGGAAUACCGGGUGGCGAAGGCGGCAUCCUGGACUAACACUGACGCUGAGGCGCGAAAGCUAGGGGAGCAAACGGG